rnacentral:rRNA from 1 species
GGCAGCAGCUAAGAAUAUUCCGCAAUGGUCGAAAGACUGACGGAGCGACGCCGCGUGAAUGAUGAAGGCCGUGAGGUUGUAAAGUUCUUUUCUGGAGGGAGAAUAAGUGUUGUAGGGAAUGACAACAUGAUGACGUGAAUCCAGGAAUAAGCCCCGGCUAACUACGUGCCAGCAGCCGCGGUAACACGUAGGGGGCAAGCGUUGUUCGGAAUUAUUGGGCGUAAAGGGUGCGCAGGCGGCUUGGCAAGUCUGCUGUUAAAUGGUUGAGCUCAACUCAAUCAUGCGGUGGAAACUAUCAAGCUAGAAUCAACGAAGGGAUACCGGAAUUCCAGGUGUAGGGGUGAAAUCUGUAGAUAUCUGGAAGAACACCGAUGGCGAAGGCAGGCAUCUGGCGACUGAUUGACGCUGAGGCACGAAGGUGCGGGGAGCAAACAGGUUUAGAUAUCCUGGUAGUCCGCACAGUAAACGAUGUGCACUAGGUGGCGGGUAGCAGUACUCGGUACCGAAGCAAACGCAUUAAGUGCACCGCCUGGGGAGUAUGCUCGCAAGGGUGAAACUCAAAGGAAUUGACGG